UGGGCCCUCUCCUCGCUUGUCUGAUUGGUCAACAGUUCCAUGACCUGAAAUAUGGCGACUCAUUCUGGUUCGAAACAUCCCAUCCAAGAAAGGGCUUUACAUUAGGACAACUGUCUGAGAUCCGACGAAUGCGCUUUGCCAAAAUUCUUUGUAGGAAUUCAGGAGUGAAGUCCAUCCAAAGAGAUCCUUUUACAGUGUACUCAAAAGAAAGCAAUCCUUUGAUACCCUGCAACGAUCUUCCAACAAUCGAUUUAACCAAAUGGCGGAGAUGAGAGGUUGCUUGGCCUACCCUUAAGUUCAACAAAUAAACCCCGAAGACUUGAAACAUAGCAUUUUGGUGUUCCACCAUGUAUAGCCCACACUACUAGUCCUGGUUUGUAAGAUGCCUAAAUCACAGAAUACAUUACAUUUUUGACAUUUGUGUUCAACUGUCUUCA